rnacentral:sRNA from 1 species
UAUUCUACCCUACGGGGAAGGAUGAGAAGCUUCGACUAAGGUUCGACUCGAGCGCCAGCGAGAGAACGUUGCCGC